CUCCCCGUAGCUCAGUGGAAGAGCGUGCGUUUCCGAGGCGCAUGAGCGCGAGUUCAAUUCUCGCCGGGGAGUCCA
rnacentral:tRNA from 1 species